AGUGAACGCUGGCGGUAGGCCUAACACAUGCGAGUCGAACGGCAGCACAGUAAGAGCUUGCUCUUACGGGUGGCGAGUGGCGGACGGGUGAGGAAUACAUCGGAAUCUACUUUUUCGUGGGGGAUAACGUAGGGAAACUUACGCUAAUACCGCAUACGACCUACGGGUGAAAGCAGGGGAUCUUCGGACCUUGCGCGAUUGAAUGAGCCGAUGUCCGAUUAGCUAGUUGGCGGGGUAAAGGCCCACCAAGGCGACGAUCCGUAGCUGGUCUGAGAGGAUGAUCAGCCACACUGGAACUGAGACACGGUCCAGACUCCUACGGGAGGCAGCAGUGGGGAAUAUUGGAAAAUGGGCGCAAGCCUGAUCCAGCCAUAGCGCGUGGGUGAAGAAGGCCUGCGGGUUGUAAAGCCCUUUUGUUGGGAAAGAAAAGCAGCAGGUUAAUACCCCGCUGUUCGGACGGUACCCAAAGAAUAAGCACCGGCUAACUUCGU
rnacentral:rRNA from 1 species